rnacentral:rRNA from 1 species
AUUGAACGCUGGCGGCAUGCCUUACACAUGCAAGUCGAACGGUAACAGGUCUUCGGAUGCUGACGAGUGGCGAACGGGUGAGUAAUACAUCGGAACGUGCCCGAGAGUGGGGGAUAACGAAGCGAAAGCUGUGCUAAUACCGCAUACGAUCUGCGGAUGAAAGCGGGGGACCUUCGGGCCUCGCGCGAUUGGAGCGGCCGAUGUCAGAUUAGGGAGUUGGUGGGGUAAAGGCUCACCAAGCCAACGAUCUGUAGCUGGUCUGAGAGGACGACCAGCCACACUGGGACUGAGACACGGCCCAGACUCCUACGGGAGGCAGCAGUGGGGAAGUUUGGACAAUGGGCGCAAGCCUGAUCCAGCAAUGCCGCGUGCAGGAAGAAGGCCUUCGGGUUGUAAACUGCUUUUGUACGGAGCGAAAAGGCUCCCUCUAAUACAGGGGGCUCAUGACGGUACCGUAAGAAUAAGCACCGGCUAACUACGUGCCAGCAGCCGCGGUAACAC